CAAAAUUUCCUUAAAAUUACAAAUUCAGGGGCAGCAACCCAACAAAGGGUUGUCUGAUUCGUCUGAAAAUUUCAGGGCAGAUAGAUCUUGACCUGAUAAACAAUUAUACCCUGUCAGAUUUGCUCUAAAUGCUUUGGUUUUUGAGUUAUAAGCCAAAAACUACAUUUUACCCCUAUGUUCUAUUUUUAGCCGUGGCGGCCAUCUUGGUUGGUUGACCGGGUCAUGCCACACAUUUU
rnacentral:lncRNA from 1 species